AUGCCACCAGGGCACCUCCUAAGGGAGGUUUUCCUGGCACGUCCAGCUGGGAGGAAGCCACGGGGCACGUCUAGGACCAGGUGGGGAGAUUAUAUCUCCACACUGGCCUGGGAGCACCUCAGUAUCCCCCAGUCAGACCUGGUUGAUGUUGCUAGGGAAAGGGAAGUUUGGGGUCCCCUGCUGAAACUGCUUCCUCCAUGUCGUCACAGCAUCCUCAGCGUUUGCAACCUUCUUAUAGAUGUUAUAAGCAUUCUGGGAGACAGGGCAGUCAGCAGCCAGACACUGGACCUGCUCCACCAGCUGCCCCUUCAGCCUGAGGGCUCAAGGAGAGGAUGGGGGUCUGCAGCGCUCUCCUCCUGCCACAGGGCAGCGCCUUUGCUGUGGAGAUAUUUAGCGCUGUGCUCCACUGCUUUUGACUCCUGGGGGAAGGGUACAACAGAAACUGUUUCAUCAGACACACCAAAGGCCCCUACUGUGUUUCCUCUGGUACAAUGUGGUUCUGAGACCAGUGACACGCUGACUGUCGGCGUCCUCGCCACCGGCUUCACGCCCGCCUCCCUGACCUUCAGCUGUGCCACUGCCAGCGGGACGAACCUGCCCGACUCUCUUCAGUACCCUGCAGUUCAGAAGGACUGCUACUAUUCAGCGGUCAGCCAGAUCCGAGUGAAGAGAUCAGACUUGAAACAAAACAUUAGCUGUACCGUGGACCAUCCAGGAUCAGGAUCAAAAACCGUCUACAUUACAUUGCCAAAACCGGUAACUCCUUCUGCAGUGACUUUGCAGCCCGUGCCUAAUGGAGACACCUACUCCCUAAUAUGUAUGAUUGAGGAUUUGUCCUCAACAAUUUCGUCAGUCACAUGGAGAAAGAACGAGGAGGAAGUGACACAGGGCAAAAUAUCUACAGCUAGAGGCAGCGACUCACUUAUCAGUGUCCUGAAAGUCGACAAGACGGAAUGGGAGAGUAAAUCUGUCUUCAGCUGUGAGGUUCCUCAUCCUGGAGGGCCAAUUACCAAGAAGACUUCCAGUGCUUUCAUCACAGUGAAACUAAACCCUCCAAUUGCAAAAAAGCUUUUCUCAAACAACGAAGUAGAGUUGGACUGCACCAUCACAGGAGAGGACAAAAACAUUGUAUCUAAAACUAUAAUCACCUGGCAAAUUAAUGGAAACAAUUAUACCAACAGUAUCACUGUCAAGAAAGACAGUGAGAAGAGUAAAACCAGCAAACUGCUCCUAAGCCUGCAGGACUGGACAACUGUAAAACAAGUUCGCUGUUCUGCUUACAAGGAAGAAGGCAUGGUGCCAGUCACUCAAGAUCUCACUGUCCACCAUGAAGGUGAAGCCACGAUUAAACCUGUAGUCCACGUUCUCCGAGAAGAAGACAUGCCUAAGGGAGAAUCAGGCGAUAAGGUCACUCUGGUGUGUCUGGUGUCCAGCACCUUGCAGUCUGACUACUAUAUCACCUGGAGUGAACAAGACAGAGGUCAGGUUUCAGACUUCCAAGAUGGUAUCGACUCCCCCCCACAAAAGACCCAGAAUGGCUACUCCGUCACAAGUGUGUACACCACCAGCAAGAAGAAGUGGGACGACAAGGUCAUUUUCACCUGCAAAGUCUGGCCCGCUGGUGCCAGCACCUUCAUGAAGUCAGCAGGAGUUUCUAAAGCGCAGGGUAACACCGUUGUCUGUUGAGUGGAGUCAAUUCAGCUUUAAAUGUUGUGUUUUGCAGUGUGUUCCUCUGUGUGUCUGCGUGUACCCUGUGUUGUGGAAAGUGUGCCCUCUGCGGCAGCAGCAAUCUGUGACUUUGUUAACAUGACAGUCAGCGCGUCAGCUGAGUUUUGUUUGUCAUCAUAUUGUGUGCUGUUACAUUAGAGUCUCUUGUGCAAGUGAACGCCCUGUCUUUA